rnacentral:rRNA from 1 species
CCUACGGGAGGCAGCAGUGGGGAAUAUUGCGCAAUGGGCGAAAGCCUGACGCAGCAACGCCGCGUGGGGGAUGAAGGUUCUCGGAUUGUAAACCCCUUUCGAUCGGAACGAAUCUCCUCCUGGUAAAUAAUCAGGAGGAUCGACGGUACCGGGAGAAGAAGCCACGGCUAACUCUGUGCCAGCAGCCGCGGUAAGACAGAGGUGGCGAGCGUUGUUCGGAUUUAUUGGGCGUAAAGCGAACGCAGGUGGUUUGGUAAGUCAGAGGUGAAAGUCCACAGCUUAACUGUGGCACUGCCUUUGAUACUGCCUUUCUAGAGUGCAUGAGGGGGAAGCGGAAUUCCGAGUGUAGAGGUGAAAUUCGUAGAUAUUCGGAGGAACACCGGUGGCGAAGGCGGCUUCCUGGCAUGUAACUGACACUCAUGUUCGAAAGCGUGGGUAGCAAACAGGAUUAGAUACCCUGGUAGUCCACGCCCUAAACGAUGGGCACUAGGUGUGGGAGGUAUCGACCCCUUCCGUGCCGCAGCUAACGCAUUAAGUGCCCCGCCUGGGGAGUACGGCCGCAAGGUUGAAACUCAAAGGAAUUGACGG